AUGCAGCUGACGAGUCCCAAAUAGGAUGAAACACGCGUCCUGGAU
rnacentral:hammerhead_ribozyme from 1 species